CGCUGGCGGUAUGCUUACACCUGCAAGUCGAACGGAGUACUUAGGUACUUAGUGGCGGACGGGUGAGUAACGCGUGAGAAUCAGCCUUCAGGUUCGGGACAACCACUGGAAACGGUGGCUAAUACCGGAUAUGCAGCAAUGUGAAAGAUUAAUUGCCUGAAGAUGAGCUCGCGUCUGAUUAGCUAGUAGGUGUGGUAAGAGCGCACCUAGGCGACGAUCAGUAGCUGGUCUGAGAGGAUGAUCAGCCACACUGGAACUGAGACACGGCCCAGACUCCUACGGGAGGCAGCAGUGGGGAAUUUUCCGCAAUGGGCGAAAGCCUGACGGAGCAAUACCGCGUGAGGGAGGAAGGCUCUUGGGUUGUAAACCUCUUUUCUCAAGGAAGAACACAAUGACGGUACUUGAGGAAUAAGCAUCGGCUAACUCCGUGCCAGCAGCCGCGGUAAUACGGAGGAUGCAAGCGUUAUCCGGAAUGAUUGGGCGUAAAGCGUCCGCAGGUGGCUGUGUAAGUCUGCUGUUAAAUAGUGAGGCUCAACCUCAUAAAAGGCAGUGGAAACUUACACGGCUAGAGUGCGUUCGGGGCAGAGGGAAUUCCUGGUGUUAGCGGUGAAAUGCGUAGAGAUCAGGAAGAACACCGGUGGAGAA
rnacentral:rRNA from 1 species